rnacentral:lncRNA from 1 species
GAUUUCUUAUUUAGAAAUCUGACCGAAAGUUAGGUGCUGUAAGAGCUGCAUUUGUCAAAGGAAGUCUUGCUGUGUACCCUGCCACAGGUUGCAUCUGGACCUUGAAGCAAAAGAAAAUAUGUGUUAUGGGGCCAGUGCUGUGGCGUAGCAGGUAAAGCCACUGC